GGGACGCCGCCGCGUGGAGCCGCCCGCUCGCCGGGGUCGCCGCCGCGUGGAGCCGCCCGCUCGCCGGGGUCGCCGCCGCGUGGAGCCGCGGUCGGCGGAAGUGACGCGCCGCGGACUUCCGGGGAGGCGCUGGACCGGCGCCCGGCCGACGCCCGCGGAGGCGCACGGGAGGCGGUGCGCGAAUAAAGAAACGGAACGUCUCCGUUUCCACGCUCGUGUGUCUGCGUCGCGACCCGCAGACCCCGCGCACAGCUCAAUAAAGACGCCCAGCCCCACCGACCGCGUGCUGUGGUGACGUGUGCAUUGGACGCCCUGCGUGGCUAUCGAGUAAUAGUAGCUAGACUCAGAACUUAAGUGAAAGAGGACUGCUCCCCUCAUUGAGAAAGGCUGUUUCAGAACCAAAGGCCAAUGCUCUCCAGCCCUCCACUUACUUCACUUCGGAGAGAACUGAUCGCUCUCCAUCU